AUUGAACGCUGGCGGCAGGCUUAACACAUGCAAGUCGAGCGCGCCGCGGACGGGUGUGUUAUGUCUGGGAAUGUGUCUGAUGGAGGGGGAUAACCACUGGACACGGUCGCUAAUACCGCAUACUAUCAGAUGUGCCCAUAUGGGAUUAGCUAGUAGGUGGGGUAAUGGCUCACCUAGGCGACGAUCCCUAGCUGGUCUGAGAGGAUGACCAGCCACACUGGAACUGAGACACGGUCCAGACUCCUACGGGAGGCAGCAGUGGGGAAUAUUGCACAAUGGGCGCAAGCCUGAUGCAGCCAUGCCGCGUGUGUGAAGAAGGCCUUCGGGUUGUAAAGCACUUUCAGCGAGGAGGCGUUACUCGCAGAAGAAGCACCGGCUAACUCCGUGCCAGCAGCCGCGGUAAUUC
rnacentral:rRNA from 1 species